CUUGGUCAUCUAGAGGAAGUAAAAGUCGUAACAAGGUUUCCGUAGGUGAACCUGCGGAAGGAUCAUUAUUGAAUGAACUUGGUGUGGUUGUCGCUGGCCCUCUUGGGGGCAUGUGCACACCUACCAUCCUCAUCUCUCCACCUGUGCACCUCUUGUAGAUUUGGAAUUGAUUAUCCGAGGCAACUCGGUCGUGAGGACUGCUAGCACUUAGCUGGCUUUCUUUGCAAUUCCAGGUCUAUGUUUUUCAUAUACCCCAUUGUAUGUAACAGAAUGUAUCAUUGGGCCCUUGUGCCUAUAAACCUUAUACAACUUUCAGCAACGGAUCUCUUGGCUCUCGCAUCGAUGAAGAACGCAGCGAAAUGCGAUAAGUAAUGUGAAUUGCAGAAUUCAGUGAAUCAUCGAAUCUUUGAACGCACCUUGCGCUCCUUGGUAUUCCGAGGAGCAUGCCUGUUUGAGUGUCAUUAAAUUCUCAACCAAUAUCAACUUUUGCUGAUAAUGGCUUGGAUGUGGGGGUCUAUUUUGCUGGCUUCUCAGAUAGUCAGCUCCCCUUAAAUGCAUUAGCCGGUGCCCCGCGUGGACUGUCUAUUGGUGUGAUAAUUAUCUACGCUAUAGACAUCUGCAAUCAUAUGGGUUUGCACUGCUUCUAACAGUCUGUUGAUUCAGACAAAACAUGACAAUUUGACCUCAAAUCAGGUAGGACUACCCGCUGAACUUAAGCAUAUCAAUAAGCGGAGGA
rnacentral:rRNA from 1 species